UUGAGUCAGAGUGAAAAGCACUCUAAUGGGGCAAAAUGAAAAAGUCUUUCAGGAAGUGUCUACACACGGCUUCCACCGGACCUACCAACAGUGUAGGGAAAUUUUUUUUUUUUUUAAAGUGACUACAGAACCAUCAAGGACCAUAACAGCCAGAGUGGUUAAAACAGAAGAAAGUGGAAGUGAUUCGACCAAAUGGACACUAUCUAUGGCAAUAGGCCGGCGAGCAAUGGGAGGGAGAGUGCCCUGGACUCGGCCACGGUGUUGUUGGAGUCCACGAUGGAGGAUGCAGUCUCAGUUCCCCCAGCUUAGAAUUCACUGCAAUCCCCAAAGCUCCUCUGGACACAUUGGGAAACCUCUUCUUCACUGCCACUGUGUAUACUUUGGCAGAACCAGACAGAGAAGCCUUGGAUGGAGCCUUCAGCACCUGUGAAGCUGAAUAUUGAUAGAUUAAAAACAAUACACAUAACACUGAGCAUCAUAAAAUCUUUGUAGAUGUAUCAGAAUAUCAC